rnacentral:rRNA from 1 species
AACGCUGGCGGCGCGCUUAACACAUGCAAGUCGAGCGAGAACCGGACCUUCGGGUCCGGGGAAAGCGGCGAACGGGUGAGUAACACGUGGGUAAUCUGCCCUCGGCACCGGGAUAGCCCGGGGAAACUCGGAUUAAUACCGGAUAGCCUCCGAAGCCUUCGGGCGUCGGAGAAAAGGUGGCUUCGGCAUCUGGCUGAGGAUGAGCCCGCGGCGGAUUAGCUUGUUGGUGGGGUAACGGCCUACCAAGGCGACGAUCCGUAGCUGGUCUGAGCGGACGACCAGCCACACUGGGACUGAGACACGGCCCAGACUCCUACGGGAGGCAGCAGUGGGGAAUCUUGCGCAAUGGGCGAAAGCCUGACGCAGCGACGCCGCGUGCGGGAAGAAGGCCUUCGGGUUGUAAACCGCUUUCAGGUGGGACGAAGCUCCUCGGGUGAAUAGCCCAGAGGGUGACGGUACCUCCAGAAGAAGCCCCGGCUAACUACGUGCCAGCAGCCGCGGUAA